UGGGGAAUCUUGCGCAAUGGGCGAAAGCCUGACGCAGCCAUGCCGCGUGAAUGAUGAAGGUCUUAGGAUUGUAAAAUUCUUUCACCGGGGACGAUAAUGACGGUACCCGGAGAAGAAGCCCCGGCUAACUUCGUGCCAGCAGCCGCGGUAAUACGAAGGGGGCUAGCGUUGCUCGGAAUUACUGGGCGUAAAGGGAGCGUAGGCGGACAUUUAAGUCAGAGGUGAAAGCCCAGGGCUCAACCUUGGAAUUGCCUUUGAUACUGGAUGUCUUGAGUUCGGGAGAGGUGAGUGGAAUGCCGAGUGUAGAGGUGAAAUUCGUAGAUAUUCGGCGGAACACCAGUGGCGAAGGCGACUCACUGGCCCGAUACUGACGCUGAGGCGCGAAAGCGUGGGGAGCAAACA
rnacentral:rRNA from 1 species